GACGAACGCUGGCGGCGUGCUUAACACAUGCAAGUCGAACGGAAAGGCCCCUUUGGGGGUACUCGAGUGGCGAACGGGUGAGUAACACGUGAGUAACCUGCCCUUGACUUCGGGAUAACUUCAGGAAACUGGGGCUAAUACCGGAUAGGAAUCCUUGCUGCAUGGUGGGGGUUGGAAAGCUUCGGCGGUUUUGGAUGGACUCGCGGCUUAUCAGCUUGUUGGUGGGGUAGUUGCUUACCAAGGCUUUGACGGGUAGCCGGCCUGAGAGGGCGACCGGCCACAUUGGGACUGAGAUACGGCCCAGACUCCUACGGGAGGCAGCAGUGGGGAAUAUUGCACAAUGGGCGGAAGCCUGAUGCAGCAACGCCGCGUGCGGGAGGACGGCCUUCGGGUUGUAAACCGCUUUCAGCAGGGGCGAAGCUUGUGGUGACGGUACCUGCAGAAGAAGCACCGGCUAACUACGUG
rnacentral:rRNA from 1 species